GCACUGCUGAGGAGUCCCAAACUAGGAGGAAACAGUCGUCCAGUGC
rnacentral:hammerhead_ribozyme from 1 species